UACAGAGGUCCCGAGCGUUGUUCGGAUUCAUUGGGCGUAAAGGGUGCGUAGGCGGCGAGGUAAGUCUGAUGUGAAAUCCCGGGGCUCAACCCCGGAACUGCAUUGGAUACUGCCUUGCUUGAGUACUGGAGAGGGAACUGGAAUUUACGGUGUAGCAGUGAAAUGCGUAGAGAUCGUAAGGAAGGCCAGUGGCGAAGGCGAGUUCCUGGACAGUUACUGACGCUGAGGCACGAAGGCCAGGGGAGCAAACGGG
rnacentral:rRNA from 1 species